CCUUAAUAAACCGAAAUGGCAUAAAGCAAAGAAACGGUUACGUACCUUUUUUCAUAAAAGCGAAAAUCCUCUUUGGAUUUCUUCUGGUUAGGGAAAACAGGUACUAAUGUAGGUCUUUUGUAAAAGCAGAGUUGCAUAAAGCAAACUUUCCAAAAGCAGGUGGUACUUGUAUAUGUACAAUUGGGGUGGAGGAUGGAAAAAAGUACAAGAAAUAUUGAGGAAUGUAAUUCUAUAGGAAAAUAUUGUGAACUUCACAGCUCAAAUAUGUGGGGAGAUAUUAACAAAGUUCUUGUUACUUCUAAGUUGAGCAAAAGAAAUUCCUAUAGUUCAUUGGAAUAGUAACACAGUACUCAACUCAAUGGAUUGAGACCUUGCAAGGUGACCAGUUACUCAAGGGAGAUGUCAUUUUAUUAUUAAAAAAAAAGUCGAUGGAGAAGGUGUUCAUAUCUAGUUGCCUUGCUGAGAAUGUCAGUCACAGUCUAAAGAGAUUCCAAAGGUAAUGUGAUAAUAUGGCAGGUCUACUCAAGGGCAACCAGUGGAAAUGUUCUGAAUCAAAAAUAACUCAACAUUUGAGAAUUCUGAGAGGACAUUCAAUACAUCUCCAUGUAGAGGAAUUGGGGGGGGGAGGGAUGCAUUAGUUUGUUUCAAGAUUUCAAGAGAUUAAAUUUAGUAUGUUAUAAAUUUAUUGUUGGAAAUGUUAAAUCUCAUUACUAAUUGAAUUUCACUGAAAUAAAGACUUGAGGGAAAGCUGAUAUUUAUCUAUUUGGCAGAAAUCAGUUAAAUUCAAUUACACAUGAUUUUUUUUUUUAAUGUUUUCACAGUCACUGUGAAGACCAAAGCUGUAAAAUUCAAUUACAUGAAGGUGAUCAUGCUGUCACAUUCUGGUUACCAGAAAUGGUCAUGAUGGAAUUCAAAAAUGGUAUAUUGGAUAUCUGCCCUUUCAGCAAAUACCAUUAUAAGAGCAAAGACAACGCAUAGCUGAAUGAUUCCUAAGCUUCUCUUUUGCUUUCACUCAAUAAUAGGUAUAAUAAAAUUUCAUUCUAAGAAACGAACUUGGAAACUCCCUUUACCACAGAAUUUAUUCCCAUUACCACAGAAUUUGACCUGAAUAUUCAUUUUCUCAGUUAAGAAAUGAAGAUGGAAUGACAAACAAGUUAUUCCAGUUAUUGCUCUUUGGAAAUCACAUGUGUUCAUUCUAUAGUAUGGUGUGUGAAGCUAGGGAUAAAGAUUUUUUUCUUUUUUCAGAAAAAUAACCCAUAGCUUCAACUUUGUGAGAAGAAACUUUAUAAAGAAAACUUUGUAAAGAAGAAAAAUGAAAGAAGAAAAACAUAUUAGGAAAGGAAAAUACUGUUAAUCUGAGUAGGAAUGACAAAGAGAAAAGCAGUAACGGGUUCAUAAUUUUUUGGAGGUGCUUGAUUUGGAAGACGAGCUAGGGGUUCAAAUAUGGAACCUGAGUUUUCUUUCUAGCAGUGAUAUGCCAGUCAUGCUGAUCAUCCUUCUAAAACAGAACCGUGUUGUGUUUUAUAACCUGUGGGUGAAAAGAAUAGAUAACCUCCCUUAGCGUUUUAGAAGACAAGCAGUGCAAAGGAGAGACAAGUCUCCAGGAAAAGGAGUUACAAGAAGCUACUUCCCACUAACUGUCAUUUUGGGUCACUGGAAAUACACAUGUGUGCCCAGGACAUGCGUAGAUGCUUUGGGAAGUUGGAGACAAUUAACCUUGAGUGUUGCUGAGUGGAAAACACGUCAAAGGCAAGGGGCAGUGAGAGAACCAGAAGCCAAUCAGAGUGAAGAGCAUGUUUGAACAGAAAGAGGGGGGCAUAUAAAGACUAAGUGUUUGGGGCUCCUCUCCCUCUGCACUGUCUCUGUUCUAGCAGACACCUGCCAAUCGGGGCAGGUAUUUACGACUCCAAGAGGACAAGAGGGGUCAGCAUUCGGCAGCUUCUUUGGUCACCAGCUACGUCGUUUGGCAGCAGCCUCAAGUGCUCACAACUGCACAGAGCCAGGAGCAUGCUGAACAGGGAUGUUCCAGUUUAAAAAGACAGAGCUUCAAACAAAGCAGGUGGAAGAAGUUAACUACAUGAUGACCAGGCUGUAGCCAUGACAUAGGCUGCCACAAUUCUGAGAACUGGCCUCAAGGAAAUGGAAACAAACCGACCCUGGAAGUGAAGAUUAACUGUACCUAAAAUAAUCGAGAUGAUGCUGAUCAGACCACCGAUGACCCAUUUCAAGAUGACUGUCAGAGCUGACUGUAUUGUUGCUGCAUGUAGCCCCUCCCUCUGUCUAUAAAAGCUCUUGCUCCCUGAUUGUCGGUGGUGGGGGGGAGUCAGCCUUUGGACAGGCAUCCACACUCCAAAAUAAAGCAAACUUUCCUUUCUACCAA